GAUUUUAGGAACAGUUUGCAGGCGGAUUCUUCAGCUUCGGGUCUGCUGUAGGAAAACUGAGACAACGAUUACAGAUUUUGCAGGCAUUGAAUCGACAUCACUGUUGACUGCAGGUUGACAUUCACGUUCCAGUCCAGUUGCAAAUCAGAGUUUCUUUAUUGAUAGAACCGUGCCAAUUG